rnacentral:rRNA from 1 species
GAUGAACGCUGGCGGCGUGCCUAAUACAUGCAAGUCGAGCGAACGGACGAGGAGCUUGCUUCGCUGAUGUUAGCGGCGGACGGGUGAGUAACACGUGGAUAACCUACCUGUCAGACUGGGAUAACUUCGGGAAACCGGAGCUAAUCCCGGAUAAUAUUUUGAACCGCGUGGUUCAAAAGUGAAAGACGGUGUUGCUGUCUCUUAUAGAUGGAUCCGCGCUGCAUUAGCUGGUUGGUAAGGUAACGGGUUACCAAGGCGACGAUGCAUAGCCGACGUGUUUGGGGGAUAGCCCACACUGGAACGUGGACACGGUCCAUGCGCCUACGGUAGGCAGCAGUAUGGAAUCGUCCGCAAUGGGCGGAAACCUUGCGGAGCAACGCCGCGUGAGUUAUGAAGGUCUUCGGAUCGUAAAGCUCUCUUAUUAGGUAUGAACAUAUGUGUAAGUAACUGUGCACAUCUUGACGGUACCUAAUCAGAAAGCCACGGCUAACUACGUG